AAAAACAAUUUAAAUACAAAAACACACGCAGGUUCCCCUCCUUUCCUUUGCCUUUUGGUCUGGCUCUCCCUACCUUUGCGUUGGUGCCUGACCGAAUGGAAAACCCGUCUUCGUUUGGCAGCCUGUGAGCUCCGGGUACCUGGAGAUCAGGCCCUGUGCUGCCCCCACCCCAGGAGCCGUGCCCCCCAUCAUUCUGCAGUCCUCUGACUCCCAGCCUGGUGUGGAAACUGAGGCCCGGAGAGGUGAUGUGAUUUGCCUAAAGUCAUGCAACUAGUGGCAGAGCCCGGCCUCGAAGCCAGGUGUCCUGGAUCUCAAGACACCCCCCUGCCUGAGGAAUGGAACAGGUUCCAUACAUUGGCGGUGAGUCACCGCAUUGUACAUACACACUGAACAGUUUUAGCAACUGUAUCCAUGACACGUUCUCGUCUGCUCCUGAAAGCCGCGCAGAUAUUUUGAGUAUACAUCAUACGGUGGGAUGAAGCAAUAAAAGGAAACAUCAGUCUCCCUCCUGUUUGGAGAUCCCGAUGAGUCUGCAUUUCUGGAGUACCAUCUGGCAUGUCAGGAACAACUUUCCCAUAGCGAUCUGAAAACUCUUCCACACCGAAUGCAAAAGAUUACAACAAUCCUUUCCACAAUUGUGACUUGGCAAGGCUUCUUGAUAAAUUUGGAAGGCAUUUAAGAGUGAAUAUGCCCAGUUUUUAUUGGGCACUGUCUCCGUUUCCUUUCUGUUGCUGUGAUUU